rnacentral:rRNA from 1 species
AUACGGAGGGGGCUAGCGUUGUUCGGAAUUACUAGGCGUAAAGCGUACGUAGGCGGACUGAUCAGUUGGGGGUGAAAUCCCAGGGCUUAACCCUGGAACUGCCUUCAAUACUGUCAGUCUUGAGUUUGGGAGAGGUGAGUGGAAUUCCUAGUGUAGAGGUGAAAUUCAUAGAUAUUAGGAGGAACACCAGUGGCGAAGGCGGCUCACUGGCCCAUUACUGACGCUGAGGUACGAAAGCGUGGGGAGCAAACAGGAUUAGAAACCCUAGUAGUCC